rnacentral:rRNA from 1 species
CAGUAGCCACGGUAAUACGUAGGGCGCAAGCGUUAUCCGGAAUUAUUGGGCGUAAAGAGCUCGUAGGCGGUUUGUCGCGUCUGCCGUGAAAGUCCGGGGCUCAACCCCGGAUCUGCGGUGGGUACGGGCAGACUAGAGUGAUGUAGGGGAGACUGGAAUUCCUGGUGUAGCGGUGAAAUGCGCAGAUAUCAGGAGGAACACCGAUGGCGAAGGCAGGUCUCUGGGCAUUAACUGACGCUGAGGAGCGAAAGCAUGGGGAGCGAACAGGAUUAGAUACCCCCGUAGUCCCUGUCUCUUAUAU